UACGAAGGGGGCUAGCGUUGCUCGGAAUCACUGGGCUUAAAGGGUGCGUAGGCGGCGCAGUAAGUAGGGUGUGAAAUCCCUCGGCUUAACCGAGGAACUGCGCCCUAAACUACUGUGCUCGAGGGAGAUAGAGGUGAGCGGAACUUAGGGUGGAGCGGUGAAAUGCGUUGAUAUCCUAAGGAACACCGGUGGCGAAAGCGGCUCACUGGAUCUCUUCUGACGCUGAGGCACGAAAGCUAGGGUAGCGAACGGG
rnacentral:rRNA from 1 species